rnacentral:lncRNA from 1 species
CUCGAAUAAACCAUUUAUCCAUCUAUCUAUCCAUUGCACGAGAAAUUCAAAAACAUUCUACUUACUUCAGCACAGCAUUUGACCGAAUAACUUAUUAAUAGCUAUAUGAAUUAAAGAUAGCUAUUAUAAAUUGUAUGUAGCUUUCAAAAAACUGCAGAAACAUGCUCAAAUUAAUCAUUUUACUGAGUUUACUGUACAACAUAAAACUCCUUUAUUUAUUGCUAUUGCAUUUUAUUUCGUUAUUAAUCUAGACGAAUCUAUAGAUGCACUAAUUUUACGACUUCCUGUAUAAAUAUACUGAUAUUAUUAAAUUAUACAUUUUUUGUUUAACUAGGAUAUAAAGAUCCCUAUAGACCUGAUAUUUUUCUACAAUUAUAAAUAAUUAUACUGUCUUUAAUAAUUAUGUAACAUGGGAAAAAAUAAUGAGCAGCAUUGCCAAGUCCGGGCAUUUUACCCCGAGAUCUCGGGAUUUUUUGAAGCAGUUGGGACUUUUUUAUUUUAAAAAGUCAAUCUUGGGAUUUUUUUUAUUUUGAGAAAGGGAAGUUCGAAUUUGGAAAUUGAUUUUUUUGUAAAAUUAGUGAUCAAUAAACAAUUUUGUUAAAAAUCUAGGGUUCGUCCGCUUGUAUGUAAACUCUAUUGAGCUGCAUAUUCGAUGUCAAAUUUCGUUUUUACAACAUAACAUACGAGGCUACCUGCCCGAAAUUGGCGCGAAAACCACCUAAAUUAUAAUGACGUAAAAAGUUGGAAUUUUUAGGGAAUCCGCGGGGUUUUUACAAAAUUACAGUUGGCAAGGCUGAUAAUUAGCUAUCAAAGUAACCAUAUGAAGUAACUAAAGUUUGCUGAGCAGAGCCGUGAAACAAUUAGCCAUUUCCCAAAGUCCUGGGUCUAGUCGCGCAAAUCCCAUGAGGAGGGACAAGAAAUAUGACAGCACACAUUUAAAUUAAAAAUUUAAUGUAAAAAGAGGUAUUUCAUUUUUGGUCGUCUAAAAAGAUGAUAUUUGAUAGUAGAUAUACCUCUACUCUUUCACAUAUUUGUCGUCUGUCUCACAAUGCACAGUGAUCUCUUUUGGGAAAAGGCUAAUUUCAUUCCACCAGCUUUGCAAUUAUAAUGUUAGAACGAAGUUACUGUGGAUACAGUUCCUGACCUUGGUUUAUUUUCUUCCGGCUUUAUGCUGCAAUUAUUGUUGUUGCAAGGUUUCAAUUUUGAUCUUCGACUGAAACUUAGAGUUUGUUUCAUCGCUUGUUUAUAGCUGUUAAGCCUAAACAGCCAGAGGAUCGGAUGAAAUACAAAAGUAGUGUAGACACAAGGCAUUGUGAAGAGAAGAGCUAGUUGAAACUUGACAGGAUCACCACACGAAGUACAAUGUAGAACUAUCAUAAGGAUUAUAGCUACUGGGACCGUAGCUAACAAAAAGAUAAUAACAUGAAUGAAUAAUGUCUUUGCAACUUCAUAGUUUCUUUUCAUUAUUUUCAUUCCGCAUGGAGUUGAACGUUCGAUGUUAAAAGAUACGGAGAGUCUCUGUUUCCGUGCGUAUAAUUCUUGAAAUAUCCUUGCAUAUAGACAAACAAAUAUUACAGUUAACAGCGCAAGUUGAACGCAUACAAAUGUUAAUAUUCCUUCAACAUAGGCAGAGACUUUGUUCUUGGGUAAUGUAUACACAGGAAUCAUAAUCACACAUAUAAUAAUGAUGAAUAUUAAUCCAAGAAAUUGAACCAAUAUCUUACGGAAUUUCGAAGACAAAUAAGCGUAACGGACAGGAA